AUUGAACGCUGGCGGCAGGCCUAACACAUGCAAGUCGAACGAGUGGCGGACGGGUGAGUAAUGUCUGGGAAACUGCCCGAUGGAGGGGGAUCACUACUGGAAACGGUAGCUAAUACCGCAUACCAUCGGAUGUGCCCAGAUGGGAUUAGCUAGUGGGUGGGGUAACGGCUCACCUAGGCGACGAUCCCUAGCUGGUCUGAGAGGAUGACCAGCCACACUGGAACUGAGACACGGACCAGACUCCUACGGGAGGCAGCAGUAGGGAAUAUUGCACAAUGGGCGCAAGCCUGAUGGAGCCAUGCCGCGUGUAUGAAGAAGGCCUUCGGGUUGUAAAGUACUGUCGGCGAAGAGGCGUUACUCGAAGAAAAAGCACCGGCUAACUCCGUGCCAGCAGCCGCGGUAAUAC
rnacentral:rRNA from 1 species